AGCAGGCAAGCUGCAAAGAGCUCCUUUUCUCCCGCCUCUCAGCUGAUCGGCGGGUGGGCGGGGCUUCCACGGAGGCCUCCGUGUAGGCCGCAGUGAAGCCUGAACUCGAGUAGGGCCCAAGCAAGCCAGGAAGGAGGAGGCAGCCAGAGUGUUCUCUGCAGCAGAAGACCCCUUGCUGCCCUGCUUAACCCAGACCAGCAUUUGCCAGAUGUCCUUUUCCAUUGAUACUUCUUCCUCUCCCAACUGCUGGACUGCGCAUGGAAUUUGAAGGUGGCAAGGGAUCUUUUUAACAUAAGUGUGCAAGACCUGUUCACAAGCAGAUGCAUGUUGAUUUCUGAAUAGCUUUAAGGGGGUUGAGAAUAUACCUAUGGGACUGUGAAACAGAUAGAUGCGUAGUUAUGUGUGUAGCAUCAGUGGGACAAAAGAUAAAAUUCACAAGGGAUCUUCUUUGAAAAGUUUGACUGACAGAUUGUCACAUUUUACAAAUAUAAGAAGUUUUGGUGAGGGCCUCUGUGAGACCCUGGCCACACAGAGGCCCAUUGGGCAUGCACGGUGGCCUUCAAAAUAAUGUGUUUUAUAUAAUGUGUCGUUUGGCCCUUUGAUGGAAUGUGGGAAGAAGACUUUCAGGAAUCACAUAUCAUACUAAAUCAGCUAAAUGUCAAGAAAGAUCCCAGCAAAGUGGACCUUUGGAGAGAAAUCUCUGAUAGAAUACACACAGAAGGCUUCAAAAAUCACAACUGUUUUCUCUUUCUGACUGAAGGGACACGUCUCUGAACUUCUUUUGUCAGUUCUCAGUAACAUAAAGUGAAAACGCCUAAUGGAAUCUAGCAAAGUUUAUCCAUGCCCAGAGAGGGUAAGAGUUAUGCAUAAUGCAGUGGUACAAAUGUUAACGGACUCUUGCAAGAAUGCUCACAUUUAUUUUUUAUGACCUUGAGAAAUUGAUCUGCAAAGUGGUCCCACCAGAGAUUGCAUCUGGGCUGUGCAUAGCAUUCAGAGACAGCAACCUGAGUUCCUUCCAUCACAUCUGGUCCGUAUUUACAGAUUGCAGAAGAGCAGGGAUUCACACUUCAGCUGGGUUGUUAUUACAGGCAAUGCACCCCUAAAGUUGAAAUGCAUAGGACUUGAGUAGUAAGAUAUACGUUGCAAGUUUUUUUCUUUGCUAUUCCUCAAAAAAUAUUGAUAAAUAAAACAAAUAAAAUCCCA